GUUUUGCUGUGAACCAAGUGAGUCAGCAUAUGCAGGCGCCAAAGGUCCAUCAUGUUGGAAUGAAGAAGUAAGAAGCUGGAGUUGAUGAAGAGACCAAGCUUCAAGAGCAAGCAAAUCCGGAACAAGCAGAUUUGAAUCUGUCCGUACAGUUUUGGCUUGCAAGUAACCAAACCUAACCUAGAGUGUCUUGGAAGUCAAGGCAAGUGGGGAACUCGUCCAGCUGAGCUUUCUGAAGCAUAUUUGAAGUUUAAACUAAGUAUGAGACCGUUGGAGAGAGAUCUGGCAAGUUGGAGAAUUAAUUAAGAUAAAAGUCACAUGUGCAUAAGGAGAUGAACCUGCUGUCACUUUCACCCAACCAGACUGUGCCCAUCUCUCUCUCCUGUCACUCUCUACUCCCUCUGGUCGAGAUUCUCCUUGGCUGCAUCCUCCUGGCUCCAUCAGAAACCCUACAAUAAUAUUAGUUUAGUAAAUCUGUACUUUAACAAUUGUUUAAUCACUUGCAACUUGUAAUCUGGCUAUAAAGCCACCCCAUUGUAACCAUUACGAAAUUAAGCUGAAUGGGGGAGUUUCCCCUUUCUUCUUCACCAUUCUCAAGUCUCUUAUACUCUCCUAAUCUCUGGUUACAAGAAUCUCUCUCAUACUCUCUCAAAUCUCACUUAAUCUCUCUUAUUCUCCAUUGCAGUCUCUUUAAUUCUCACUUACUGUCUUCACUCUGUUCUCCUUCAAUCCGACCACUCUCUGUUCUAAACAACACUCACACAUCAUAAUCUGUCUAUUCUCACAUGGUAUCAGAGCUCCAAGCUCCUGAGAAUCCAUAGAGCUUCCGCAAAUCUAUUACAGUUCAUACUUCUCUUCAAAAAUCUCUGUUUCUGUUCAUCCUUGUAUCCUCUGGUCUAAAGCUUUUCCAGGAGGGAAGAGACUCACCAGAACUCAAGAUAAAGGAGGUCUUUAGUAUCUGAAACUCAAAGCUUCCACAAUUCAAGCAUAGGCUCAUCCUCAUUGUUAUUUCAAAUCAUUGGAGAGUUUCUGUCCAGCCAGCUGUUCAAUCUCUUCAAGAGGAAGAAGACUAAACAUGGCGUGUCCAGAGACUUCCCAAGGUCUAUCAUCCUUUCUCCUGUUCAGCCUGAAGAGAUCUCUUGGAGAAAGAAGGUUUUGGAGCUGUUUGGCAAGCAAUGCUCCAAACCAAGUCUGUACAAGUGAUUUUCAAGUUCUUCCCAAAAUGGAGUCUCUCACUGUGUGCCAGAAGGUGGCGCCUGGUAAUCAGGAAGAAAGGAGGGGUCUUAAGCAUGAGUGGUCUAAAGGGAAAGCACACACAAGGAAAUGGCGUGGGGUAGAGAUCCCAAACUCCAAAUCUGUCAAGUUCAAGUGAACAGUGUGCCUUGGAGGUUCAAGGAACCAGCUCAGGUUCCUUGUUUGUAAGUUAACCUCCUACCUUUAAUAAGAGCUUGAGUAGUUAUGUCUGGUUGUGUUGAGUGGUGUGUUUGGUAUCCUUGGGACAGGUUCAAGUUGCUAGAGUUGUUGAACCUAGUUCCUGUCCCAUGAUACUUAAAUUGUGUGUGUUGCUCUGUUUCUUAAAUUAUUUCGAGGAGUUGUCUAGCAUGGUAUUGUCUAGUUCCUGUCCUAGAUUAAUUGUUUCUGUUUGUAUUGUGCUAGGCGAUUUGUUUAGCUACUGUCAUUGUCUUGUUGCAUUGAUAGAGGUCUAGGAGAGUCUCCUGAUCUUGUAUUGCAUUAUAUAUAUAUUGUUCAAGAUGAUUAGAUGAGUUGUUUAGUCUCUGUUUAUUGUCUUUAAAAUUCAUAAAAAGAGCCUAAUUGCCUUGUUAUUGAUGAGUUAUCAUACCUGAGCAGUUAGUGAUGUUUAGUAUGCAUGGAGUUGAACUGAAUGAGUUGUUUAGAUUCUGUUCAUUGCAUAUUUUCUUUCUCUUAAAACAUUGGGAUCAGACUUGGUGAAUUAUCAAGGGCUGAUCCUAGUGUGUGUGGUCUGAUUCUUGCUGGAGUUUGAGUGAUGUUUCAGGUACACAAGAGGUGAUCUCUGUCCAUCAUCAAACUAAGACAAAGAAGAAGGCAUUGCCCACGUUUUUCAGAGCCUCCCAAGAUGGAUAUUCCUGAACCGUGGAGAUUGCCCAGUCCCAAAUCCUAUCUAUGUGUCUGCCCAUUUCCUACCCUGAAGAUAGAAAGGAUGUUGGAGAAUUGGAGAAACUGCUCAGAAGUGACUUACCUGAUGCCAAGAGGAUGUACAGGAGGUGCACUCAAGAGAAAAGGCCAUCACUAAGCCAAGAGUGGCCGGUGGUCAGAGGCAUGGGUCAAGGUGUUUAGUCCUGACCAUGUAAAGAUACCUUGUGAGUGGAAUCAGUUGGCUUAAGCGCAGGCGUAGGAGCUGUUGUGCUCCUGGCAAAUGGUGAACUGGUUGGCUUAAGCGCAGAUGUUGGUAUUGUUGUGCUCCCAGUUCAAAACUCAUUGAAGCUCACGUUCAAGCUUGUCACUAUACUCAGUCAAGCUUGAGGAGGGGAAUAUCAGUGAGCUACCAAAAGAUCCAUGAAGCUUACUGUAUCCAGUGUCCCAUUUCCUCAUAGAAGACCAGCAAGAGGUUGGCGAAUUAAAAGAGGACUUAAGUGAUCAGUCUGAAGAAGCUGUCACUCCUCACUGUUCUUACCAGCCAGAUGCAAGGAUUAUUCAAUCAGGGACAUUCUUGGCUAAGCAAUCACAUGAUGGUGGCAAAUUAUGGAGUUGCAAAGUCCCCCUACAUGUUGAAACUUCAAGAGAAUAAUGCAAAGGCUGGUUGAGAGAAGGAAUGGCGUGGAGGAUUCAAGUGCUUAGUAAUCCUCACCAACAUUCAACAAACUGAUGCAAGGGAAGUACCUAAAACCAUUAUUAUUCUUAUGAGUGAAUAGGUUUGCCCCUUGAGAAUUGAUACAUGCAUUUUUUGGAUGAUUGAAUCAGGUACCUAUUGAGCUCAUGAACAAA